UGACCUACUGGUUCAACAGGUUAGAGGGCUCACUGAAGCGGUGCAGGCCAUGCAACAGCAACAAUAGCGGCAGGCAUCAGUGCGGUUGGAGAGAACGUCUCCAGAAUUCCAAAAUCCGACAGUAGGGUGGGCCACUUGGGCCAGUCACCCCGUCUUUCCCGAAAAGACAAAUCCGAGGGUGGAGAGCCCUCAGUCCGAUCAUAAUUCUACUCCCGGAGGAUCUCUACCUCCAUUCUACCCAAAGACCCUCGAGACCCGCAGUCGAGAGGACUUUCUGGAUCGAAGGCUCCAGUAGAUGAACCGGC
rnacentral:lncRNA from 1 species